UCCCCUGAGACUUUUGCUCUAGUAAUUUAUUCUAAUAAUAAUUUACAGCAAAAGCCUCAGGGCAGA
ensembl:miRNA